UACCGUUAUUGGCGAUAACCACAAUAUUUAAAAUGAACAGGACACUUAUGAUAACACAACAUGCAAAUAGCCUACUCCAGCGCCAGUAGCUGGCUGACCUCCCAGGUGGCAGUAUUGCACCUUAACGCUGACACCUGUCAAACAAGACGACGCAGCGCGUGGCCGCGCUACUCAGAGAAAACCAUGUUCAAUACUAUACAGACAGGAGUUUCGAAGAAGACAGAAAGUCAGAGUCUCAGGGAAGCUGUGACCUGAAUAAGUGAAAAUGCAUGCACCCUUAUCAUCUCCAUAGCCACAGAGUCUGGAGCUACCCCAUCACCGAUCAGCCUGUUCUCCUGUCGUGUGCCCUGCCCUUUUGUGUGUGACUAUCUUCCUGCCUCGUCCUUUUGUUCCCAAUUUUGUUAAUAAACGUAUCCCUAUUCAUUCUGCAUCUGGGUCCUCCCUUGCCAAACCGUGACACAGGUGUGCUGUCUGAGAUACUUGCAUACCCACAGUUAACAUGGAUGUCAGGCAGAUAUAUA